UUGUUGUGUAGCCGGCACGCAACUCUUACUUCGAUAAGUACUAAAACUUAAAUGGAUAUUCGUGUUUCGUGUUGUAAAUUUGUUAUAUCGCGUUAUAUUUGCUUGAAUUUAGUGUUAAUAGACGGGUUUUAGUGGCUAAAUAUUUAUCGCGUAUGUAAUCUUCGGAAGUCAAUGUUUGUGUGUUUAUUAUAGUUUCGCGUGUAUCUGGUAUCGCUUGCCGUCGCACGCCAAUCGGCCAUGUUGUGUGAUUGUAAAUAAUAUUUUGGAGUUGUGCGAACCAUUUUUGUCUUCAGCAGAACAAGACGGGCGGCUGUUCUACCUGUACUUGCUGUGCCCUAGCAAUCCAAUGAGCACUGCAUUGUUCUUGGUGAAUUCUGCGCCAAAUAUUUACCCGAAGAUCAUCUUCUGGCUAUCAGCAAUGGCGUCCGUAUUGUCCAUGUUCCAACGACCUUCAUGCACCGCGAGAAAGAAAGAAAUAUUAUAGAAAUUAAUUUUGAGCGUAAAACACCGCACACUGCGGUGGAAAAUGCACUGGAGAAUCGCCUGCCACGACAUCAACCAAGGAACACUUUCCAGCCUGGUGGAGAGCAGCUGCGUUUCGAGGAGAUGCUAUACUUCUAUAAUUUAUCGCUUAUCUUGAAAACACUUGCGCACACACAUUCUUUUUUAAACCAGUACAAAUAAUGCGCACAGGGAAUGACACAUAAAGAACUUCCUGACUUUUAUACCACAAACGCAUUCUUUUAAUUCACUUAUAAUUAGAAUUGUAUAUAUUUCGGGACCUUGGACGAUUGAUUUGAUGAAUGCUUGUGGAAUAACAUGCAGUGUAAACUCUUUAUGACGAUAACCACUAAGAUUAGUUUGUUUAAGGACGGAUCUUAUUCGUCCAGCCAUUUGCCACAAACCAACCUUCUUGUACAUAUUUUGGCGUCAUAAAAAGGGUUAUCAAGAGAGGUUAUCAUUGUAUUGCACAUACGCCUCACGACUUUUACUGUAUUGUAUUAUUGCUUCUCGUGCUAAUGUCGUGCUAGUCGUCCCGACUUUGCGUUUUAUUUGUUGUAGUGUUGCGGGUAUUUGGUAGUUGCAGCACUGUUGUCUACGAGUAGCUUUAACUCGCAAAAGGGACGUCUCUAGAGGUGUUAAAUUAAAUUCUCCAUGAGGUUGUAUUAAUUUGUUGCUGGAAUGAUGCAUUGGUAAAUUCGAAAAUUGGGGUGUUAAGUGAUUUUCGCAUGCGGAGUGAAAUGAUUAGAGUUUUUUCGGUAUAGCUCGCGGGAGAGGCGGCUUAGAAAUUUCUGCGCGAUCUUUAUAGAUGUCAAAUUAAAGUUUCCGUCGGGUUGUGUUUGUUUUAUGCAGGAAUUCGAUCUGUAACCCGGGAAAAUUUGCAUGAAAGGGUGAUUUUUUCACCCUUUCUUGUGAAGAGUAAAAUCAGCAUGGCGUCUAGUGAUGCAGAAUUAAAUUCUGCGUUGGGUUGUAUUUGUUUGAUGCUGGAAUUCGACCUGCAAUCAGAGAAAAUUUGCAUAAAUGGGUGAUUAUUUCACCCUUUUCCGUGAAAUGUUUCCAUUUUUUCGGGUUUGCUCGCUACCUUGGCGGCUCAGGAAUUUCAACGCGGCGUCUAGGGAUGCGGAAUUAAAUUCUCCAUCGGGUAGUAGUUUAUAUUAAGAUACCAAAAACGAAUACUGGAAUUAUCUACCUGGUGUCCCCAAUUAGAUGUUUAUGUCGGCUAACAAUUCUCUUUUCUGCUUAGUCGGUCGUGCGCGGUGGUGUCGUGAACACGUGUUUUGUUUGUGCGUCUAUCUGCAUAGUUAUUAAUCGGGUUUCUUGAGAUGUUAAUGUAAUAGUGGCAUGAAUGACAAUGAAUGUCAGCCAGUGUGGCUUACAGUUAUUGAAUUGUCGCCCAUGAAAUCUGAAAGUGAGUGGUUUUAUCCCAAACUCCUACUAUAGAAUUCUUGCAAAUCUAUGUUCGGUCGUGCGUUGCGUAGUAGUGUGCACAUGCUUUGUAUGUCGUUCGGUUCUCGUGGCGAUUUUUCACAUUUCUUGGGGUUAUAAGUCGGUAGUUUAAUUAAUAUCGGUCAGCACGGAUAGAAUUUAGCAUUGAUUGAUGUAUGCGACGUGUAAUUAGUAAGUUAUCGCGUCUGGAAGUAUUAAUUAAGUUGUUUUUUCAAUGUGCGCACGUGUUUUCAGUCGCCCGUCGGAUGUCUCUCGUCGAUACGAAGAAUUCUUACUGGAUUUAUAAAUUUUUGUGCAUUUUUUAAAUAAUUCUAUCGUGGAAAUAUACCACGAUUGUUUCCCGUGUGGAAUGAAGUCCGUAAAAUCUUUUACGUACCAGUUUGUGAAGAUUAAACAUUCAAGUAAGUGUAACUUGUAACUUAAGUAACUUUUGUAUGUAACGUUGAACACAUGUACUUAAAUUUCAUGCAACAGAAUUAAAUUUGUGUAUGUACUGUCUUUUGAUUAUAUGAGUUUGAAUAAAAUAUAAUUUAAUAGUA